rnacentral:rRNA from 1 species
UGAGCAAUCUGCCCUUCUCAUCGGAAUAAGCGUUGGAAACGACGUCUAAUGCCGAAUACGACCUCCUUUCACAUUGAUCGGAGGUGGAAAGCUCCGGCGGAGAAGGAUGAGCUCGCGGCCUAUCAGCUAGUUGGUGUGGGUAACGGCCCACCAAGGCGACGACGGGUAGCCGGCCUGAGAGGGUGACCGGCCACACUGGGACUGAGACACGGCCCAGACUCCUACGGGAGGNAGCG